AUAUUGGACAAUGGGCGAAAGCCUGAUCCAGCCAUGCCGCGUGUGUGAAGAAGGUCUUCGGAUUGUAAAGCACUUUAAGUUGGGAGGAAGGGCAUUAACCUAAUACGUUAGUGUUCUGACGUUACCGACAGAAUAAGCAUCGGCUAACUCCGUGCCAGCAGCCGCGGUAAU
rnacentral:rRNA from 1 species